ensembl:lncRNA
UAGAGUGACUAAUUUCACAUCAUUUUAUUUUUAUUCUUCUUCUUCUGUGUUGAGAUUUCAAGAAAAGCAGUAAUGACUAAUCAUUCAGACAUUUUAAACAAGUAAGGAAAGAGUCACAUUACAAGUUCAGACAGCAGCAGUCACUCAUUCAAUCUUUUAUUUCCAUAUUAAUGUUUUUAAAUCAGGCUGCAUUACUGACUGUCAUCUUCAGAUUUAAUUUGUUAGUAUACUUGUAGAUGUUCACCUGACAGAGAGACUGCUCUCUUCUAUAAAACUAAAUUACCUCUUGGAGUUGUUUUCAACAAUAAUAUAAAUAAUUACUUAUUAAUAAAUAAGCUGUCAGUGAAAUCACCACACAGAGUCCUGAAGCAAUAAGGAAAUAGAAAGUUGGAUCUCGAAGAACAUUUGAAUGAUUCAGAAAACUUCACUGCUCCACUGACACAUUUUGGCUUGUGGCCUUCAUCAGGAUCAUCAUCACCAUUGUUAGAUCUAAUGCUCGUCUCCGUGGAAGGAUCUACGAUGUGGUGCCAGAAACUUCUGAUCCGUUUCUGCAAAACACAAAACAGAGCCAACAUGAGAGCAGAAACUUUGCUUCCACAUUUCAAAUUCAAAGCCUGAAUUAUUCAGGAGCUGAGGAGCAGGUUUCCUUCUGUCUAAAAAGUUAGUCAUGUUAUUUAUCAUAAGUCACUUUGUUUUACAGCAGAUAAUUGACAGCUCUUAAAGAGCAAAACUCAAAUAAAAUCUCACAUGAGAUGUCGACUGAUAAGGUGGAGCUGGUGCUUGUUAACCCUAAACCUUAAAAAAGUAAACUUUAUAAAUGUAUAAAAGCGACCUCAUUCACGUAGAUUACUAAUUGGCAGAACUAAAUCGAAAUUUAGAGUUAUUAACUCAAAAUUUUGAGAAAAGUAACUCGAAAUGUUGAGUUAUGGAUACUUUUUUUUGUAUUUAGUGGCAGAAAAAGGGCUUCCAUAAGAAGGAGAUCAUUUAGUGCUUUUGGACUUUCUGUAAUUCUGGGUUUGUGGGUGGAGACAAAAAACUCACACACUCACAAAUCAUCAUGGCCAAAUCACCUUGCACUGAGUUAGUAGAGUAAUAAGCUUUUUUGUUCAUGGAUAUAGUUUUCUUUCAACAAAAAUGUCCAAAAUGAUGCUCCUUUGGUCUCUGGUGUGCUUCUGGGCAGGGAUUUCUGCAAAAGGCCAGAAAAACAUCAAAGCUGAGUCUGGACAGAACGUCACUCUGCCAUGCCG